rnacentral:tRNA from 1 species
GGCGAUGUGGCCAAGCGGUAAGGCAGGGGCCUGCAAAGCCCUUAUCCCCGGUUCGAUUCCGGGCAUCGCCUCCA